GAUGAAGAACGUAGCGAAAUGCGAUAAGUAGUGUGAAUUGCAGAAUUCAGUGAAUCAUCGAAUCUUUGAACGCACAUUGCGCCCUUUGGUAUUCCAAAGGGCAUGCCUGUUCGAGCGUCGUUUGUACCCUCAAGCUUUGCUUGGUGUUGGGCGUCUUGUCUCUAGCUUUGCUGGAGACUCGCCUUAAAGUAAUUGGCAGCCGGCCUACUGGUUUCGGAGCGCAGCACAAGUCGCACUCUCUAUCAGCAAAGGUCUAGCAUCCAUUAAGCCUUUUUUUCAACUUUUGACCUCGGAUCAGGUAGGGAUACCCGCUGAACUUAAGCAUAUCAAUAAGCGGAGGA
rnacentral:misc_RNA from 1 species